UACGCAGGGGGCUAGCGUUGCUCGGAAUCACUGGGCGUAAGGGGUGCGUAGGCGGGUCUUUAAGUCAGGGGUGAAAUCCUGGAGCUCAACUCCAGAACUGCCUUUGAUACUGAAGAUCUUGAGUUCGGGAGAGGUGAGUGGAACUGCGAGUGUAGAGGUGAAAUUCGUAGAUAUUCGCAAGAACACCAGUGGCGAAGGCGGCUCACUGGCCCGAUACUGACGCUGAGGCACGAAAGCGUGGGGAGCAAACAGG
rnacentral:rRNA from 1 species